rnacentral:lncRNA from 13 species
GUGUGAGCAGGAAGAUGGGCACAGCUGUGCAGGCACCACUCCUGCAAGAGAGCAUAGAGCAUCCCUCUGGGAGGAUUCUUGUGAAAAAGAGAGCAUCUAGAUCUAACCACCAAUUUCUAGGAAACAUAGCUAAGAGAGGAAGAUGCAAUGAGGACCCACUCAGCCACGUCCAGAAUGUAGAAAAUUUUACAGGAAAAAUUACCCAGUGUCCUCAGUUAAAAUGUGCUUCAUGGGGGCAGGAAACUGCUAAAAACUGAAGGACUUUCAGAGACGUGCAGUCCAGAGGCCGGCUGGGCAUGUUCAGAGUCAGAAGCAAACGUGCCCCCUGUCCAUGGGUAAAAAAUACUUCAGAGGCAAUCAGGGAACGUGAACAUGGACUGGGUAUUGGACGACACUAUGGAAUUAUUACUGUCAGGUGAAAUAAUUAUAUUGUGGUGAUGAACCUAUUUGUUACAGACAUAAAGAAGAUGGAAGAGAUUACCUGUUGUCUGGCAUUUGCUUUUUAAAUAUGUGGGGACAGCUGAAGGCAGGGGAGCAGGACGUUGCUGAUUUUUGAACCUGGGUGGUGGAUUCACUCUACCUCUGUCUUUACUUUUAGAUGUGCUUGAAAAAUGUUUAAGGUAAAGGAUUUUAAAAGAGUGGACAGCUGAGGCUGUGUGGUCUCUACCAGCAUUCAUGGCCUCUGGUUCUUCUUCUCCAGGAAGACGGCCCAUUCCUAUCUCCCAGCACUCUCUUUUUCCAUUUAAGGGGCCCAGAGGGUGGUGCUGAGCUCAGUGUCACGUGGCCCCUGCACAGACACUGGUACCUCCAUGCAGCCUUUAGAGGCACAAAGCGAAUUUGAGGCUGCAGCUGUGGGAUAACAUCGGCCAAGGUGGACAGGCAGAGAGCCAGCCUCCCACCGCUCCUGACGGAACCUCCAUACCCUUGACCUGCCCAGAGGAAAGGCAGGAGCCAGCCUCCCACCGCUCCUGACGGAACCUCCAUACCCUUGACCUGCCCAGAGGAAAGGCAGGAGCCAGCCUCCCACCGCUCCUGAUGGAACCUCCACACCCUUGACCCCUUGUCCUGAGAGGUGGAGCACAAAGGCCACAUGACUUAAAAAGACGGUUAUGACUUAAAAAGAAUGACACUGCAUUUUGCCAGAGGUUUGCAAAUAAAAGUGAGAGCUGUGGGCA